UGUAUAAUGGGUCAGCGACUUAUAUUCUGUAGCAAGGUUAACCGAAUAGGGGAGCCGAAGGGAAACCGAGUCUUAACUGGGCGUUAAGUUGCAGGGUAUAGACCCGAAACCCGGUGAUCUAGCCAUGGGCAGGUUGAAGGUUGGGUAACACUAACUGGAGGACCGAACCGACUAAUGUUGAAAAAUUAGCGGAUGACUUGUGGCUGGGGGUGAAAGGCCAAUCAAACCGGGAGAUAGCUGGUUCUCCCCGAAAGCUAUUUAGGUAGCGCCUCGUGAAUUCAUCUCCGGGGGUAGAGCACUGUUUCGGCAAGGGGGUCAUCCCGACUUACCAACCCGAUGCAAACUGCGAAUACCGGAGAAUGUUAUCACGGGAGACACACGGCGGGUGCUAACGUCCGUCGUGAAGAGGGAAACAACCCAGACCGCCAGCUAAGGUCCCAAAGUCAUGGUUAAGUGGGAAACGAUGUGGGAAGGCCCAGACAGCCAGGAUGUUGGCUUAGAAGCAGCCAUCAUUUAAAGAAAGCGUAAUAGCUCACUGGUCGAGUCGGCCUGCGCGGAAGAUGUAACGGGGCUAAACCAUGCACCGAAGCUGCGGCAGCGACACUAUGUGUUGUUGGGUAGGGGAGCGU
rnacentral:rRNA from 1 species